CGCCCGCCGGGCCGAGGGGUUCCGCCCCUCGCCGGUGCGCGCGGUGUUCGAGAUCGCGAUGCGCCCGGGGAUGAUCUCCCUGGCCGGCGGC
rnacentral:tRNA from 1 species